GCUGUCUUGAGGGGACUCGGGAGGGGGCGUUGGGAAACUGCGCAUGUCCCUCUGGACUGUGGAGUCCAGGGUAGUGGCGUCGGGGAGACGCCCCCGCGAGGGUCCCUGAAGAACUGUAGUCACCAAGGAGGCUUGGACCAGUGCGCCAAGUGGACGACCGUCCCCCAAUGUGGUGGACACCGCUGGGUGCAUGCCCUGUUGCCGCCCUUUUCUGCUGCCCACGCUGGUGUCCACCAGCUUAGGGCUUCCGAGGUCGGCACCCACAGGCCCGGCCCGCGCCCGGGUGGGCAAGGUGCCCAGAGGGACUGCAGAUCUAGGGGCUGGCUGGCCCUGGACAGGAAGACCCGCAGCAGGAUGGCCACCAACUUCCCAGGACACUGAAAGAAGCAGACGUCCAGGAGUUGGGCACUUUGGAAGGCAGAGGUAGGCUGACCAGGAACUGAGCCCCUGGUGAUAUUUAGCCUGUCUCCCCCUUCUCCCUGCCCACUGCUCCCCAGCUGGCCAGGACCCUGAAAAGGUGGUCUGGGGCUACACCCUCCCUGAGUGCCCAGGCAGUCUGGACUCAGACAGGGCCAGGGCACACAGUAGGCAGGAGGCAUCCAACAAAUAUGGCAGGAGCCCCAACCUCUAAAGAGCUGUGGGCUGCGACUGGCUGAGGCCCUACCCAGGCUGGGCCCACCUGCCUCCAUUUCUCCCAGGCACCAUCCAGGGUCUGGACAAGGGCUCCCUUUCCCACCAAUGACUGUGAGUCCCACAUGCCCACACCGUCCUGAGAGCAAGAGCUUUUAGGUGACCCGAUCCCUGCACCUACCACCUUUUAUCCCCCUCACUGUCACGAGGCAGCCCUUGCCUGACCUGCAAGCAUAGCUGGCCAACUCUGUUGCAAGCCCACCACCAACCCCUCCCCAAGGGAAGGAUUGUCAAUACCAGGAAUUGAUUAAUGUCCCUAAAGAAUUGCUUCUGCCACCAGUCACAACCACCCAGGACUCUAUCCUCUGCACAGCAUUGCUGGGCCUGGCACCUGGAGAAAUGCUUCUGGCAGCCCCUAAGGGACAGCCAUGCCCCCAUUCUACAGACAAGGAAGCUACCACUGAGGCCCAUAGAAACCUGCUCCACCGCCUCCUAUCCCAGGGCUCCCCAACACCUCAUCCAUCCACACCUUCCCCAGCAGCCUGCUCUCUGGUAUCCACAGUCUUUCAGGGCCCUUCUCUGCUGGUGUCUCCACCAUGCCACCCUCCUCUGGGUGUGUCUGGUCAGUUGCCCACUUCAUGUGUCCACCAUGCUGCCCCUGGAAGCCCCCCAGGUCACCUCUAAUGUCACAUCUCCCGUACACUGCUCACCCUUGCUGCCCACCCUCAUCCUACAUGGCUCCCAGGCAGGGCUAGAAGUCCCAGCUUGGGCUUUCUUUGACCCACCAGCCAACGUCCCACCCAGGAGCCCACCAGUGGUACCAGCCUCUCCCAGGGCUCAGCAUAGCACCCAGUGCCCAGGAUUUUGUAGGAAAGGGGAACAGUGAGAGAUAAGGGCCACUAGAAGCAUCUCAGCCUGCCAAGGGCCCAGGCCACCUCCUAGGGUCACCAUACCUAGGGUCAGGCUAGGCAGGGGUUGGGGCUGUAGGUGAAGACAGCACACCACAGAAAUUGCACUUCUGAACCCACACUGGCCCCACUAGGGUCCUGGAGGCAGGUGUCACACUCAUCUCAGUCCAGCCAGGAUGGCGGAUGGCCCCAGGCCCCAGAGUGCUGGGCACAGGAGAUGCCCCUGCAGCCCUUCCCCUCCCCUGUUUAGCUUCAGAGGCUUAGAGGAGACAGAGUGGGUGGCCUUCAUGGCACAGCAGAGUCUCUGUGGGGUUUGGGAGUCCUGGGUGGCCUGGACAUUGGCCUUCAGGCUGCCACCCCUCUCCCAGAAAGGGGCCCCCAACGCUUGCCUUGGUUCUGCAGAGCUGUUGCUGCGGCCAGGCCAGGCUCCUGGGGUUGUGUCCAUGUCUAUCCUCCUCCUGGCCCAUGGUGGCAGGUGUCCCCAGGCCCUGGUACCAGAACAGGGUCCUCGGGCCUCCGGCUCCUCGGGGCCCCCGCCCUGCAGGAACAGGAAGGGAGUCAGAAAGCCUGGAGGAAAUUCAACAGCCCUCUAUGGUGGGUUAUGGCUGUGGGCACGGACAGGAGAUUGUCUGAGCUGGGUGGGCAUGGGGGCAGAUCAGGGGAGGAAGCUCUGGGAAAACUCUGAACGAGGGAGGUAGGGAGGGCAGCCCUGGGACCUGCAAUGGAGCAGUGAUGACCUGGCAGGGGGACUGCAUCAGCCACCCAGAGCUGAGAGGAGACACAACUGCAGGAGCCUCACUUCUGAACAGCUGAACUCCAUGGCGGAGCACCCCCUUUGCCUUCCAGAGGUCCGCUAAAAUGAACCCCCCUUCCCUGGGAGCAGAAGUUUGCCACUAGAGGCUUUGAUUUGAUUAACUGAAGAUGACAUUUUUUCAGGCUUUCCAGGAACUACACGAAACACUUAGGAGUAGAAAUGACAUUAUUUUCUGCGAUUUAGACAGACAGGGAAUACUGUGAAAUAAAGUGAGCUUUGAAGCCUUACAGGUGUUCGUGCACUUGGCUGAGGAAGACAGCUUCUAAAAAGGGUUCCAAAGUCAUCACCCAGAUGCACCAAGAAGGCUGAGGGGCACAGCUGGGACAUCUUCCUGCACUGCCUUUCUGGAGGCCUCUGACCCCAGGGAUGUAUUCAGGGGUCCAGAAGAUGGUCAGAGGUCCGUGUGUGACCCUCCAUGAAUGGGCCCUGGCCAUGGGCUGUGGGACCCACCGCCAGGUCAAGUGUCUCAGACAUCAGCAGAAGGAAGGGCUGCCGGCCUCCCCCGAUCCCAGCGCCAUUUUCCCAGGAAUGGUGAUGUCUGAGUGGACGGGCCACGUGCCUGAGGGGCCUGGCCAGACUUCUGGAAGCAGCAGGUGAAGUCCCUCCUUCCCAGGUGGUCGUGGGUCACUUCCCCCUCUGGUCUCGGGCAUACCUCCCCUCCUGCCAUACUGACUCUCCCCCUGGGGGGACUUUCCCCUUUGUCCUCGCUGUUCCCUCACCUGAAAUGCCCUUCCCCACCCGGACCACUCCGUCCCCAAAGGUUUCUCCCAGUGCUGGGAGCUCUUGUGCCCCUCUGCAGGUUUUCUUUUCCCCUCCACCUGAUACACCUCAUUCAGUCCCGCCCCCUCCCGCCACAAGCCUGCACAGGCCCAGGGACCAGGGGCAAGCCCUGGAGCUGGGAGCUAGGAGACUUCAGGAUGGGAGGCAGGCCAGCUGCCCUCACCCACAGCCCACUCCCUCCAGGUCAGCCUCCGGGAGCUCCUGGCCCCUCCGCCACCCGCCCUGCACUUCGCUGUCCUACGAUGUCUCUUUCCGCUGCCUAGGAGCCCUGCGGCUGCUGCGGCCAAGUUAUAAGUAUGUGAUUAUGUAUGCUGGGGUCCCCCGAGCCCCUUUGUUGCUGCAGAAUCUGUCCUGGCAAACAAAAGUGCACUGGAUUAGCCACAGUGGAUUAAAAGAUUUGCUUCUCAGAGUUUACCUAAUAACCUAACAAUUGUGCCGACGGAGGCUUUGAACCUCUGGACACGCUCGCCGGGCCAUCUGGGAGCUCUUGGCCUCUGCGGGCGGCGGGAUGGUGGUUGGGAUGAUUAGGGGCAGCCACUGCCGGCCCUCACACCUGGCUCUGCUGAGGCUGUGCGUACGCUCUUGGCUCCUGCAAGACCCAUCUGGGCUGAACUUGGGGACCGGACCAGACUCCAGGAGAAGAAGGUGGAAGCCCCGGUGGGGCAAGGCCCAGCCAGGACCGCCUUCUAGAGGGUCCACUGCCUGAGGCCAGGUGUGGGUGGUACGGACCAGGCCUCGUCUGCACCCAGCCUGAUCCCCCAGGCACGUCCACACGUCCGUAUGGCAGCGAGGACAGAGGCAACAUGGAGGGUAGCCAUGGCGGGCAGGUGGCACGCUGGGCUUCGCCACGCCGCGGCACACGGCCCCACUGCCAUUGCCCCACCGUGCACGUACACACACACACACACACACACACACACACACAAGCGUGUCCCUCUUUGAUCUCCAAAGGACACUCCAUUUACAAGCUCUUAAUCGCAGCUGUCUUUU